AUACCUUUCUCGGCCUUUUGGCUAAGAUCAAGUGUAGUAUCUGUUCUUAUCAGUUUAAUAUCUGAUAUGUGAGCCAAUGGUUCACACGAUAUUAAAUUUAUCUCUUGAGGGGGAGAGUCCACUACAAUAGCUUGCUAGCUAUUGGGUCUCUCAAGUGUUGCUUUUGCGUUGCACUAUAGCAAUAGCCCGACACACCCCAC
rnacentral:snRNA from 1 species